rnacentral:rRNA from 1 species
CAAUAGCGUAUAUUAAAGUUGUUGCAGUUAAAAAGCUCGUAGUUGGAUUUGUGGCGUACGGUGUGUUCCGGGCACUUGUUGUCUGAGUAACCUGCUGUUGCCAUCCUUGGGUGGAACCUGUGUGGCAUUAGGUUGUCGUGCAGGGGAUGCCCAUCAUUUACUGUGAAAAAAUUAGAGUGUUCAAAGCAGGCUCAUGCCGUUGAAUAUAUUAGCAUGGAAUAAUGAGAUAGGACUUUUUUGCUAUUUUGUUGGUUUGCGCAAGAAGGUAAUGAUUAAUAGGGACAGUUGGGGGUAUUCGUAUUCCAUUGUCAGAGGUGAAAUUCUUGGAUUUUUGGAAGACGAACUACUGCGAAAGCAUUUACCAAGGAUGUUUUCAUUAA